UACGUAGGUGGCAAGCGUUAUCCGGAAUUAUUGGGCGUAAAGCGCGCGUAGGCGGCGGGAUUAGUCUGAUGUGAAAGCCCCCGGCUCAACCGGGGAAGGUCAUUGGAAACUGUUUCGCUUGAGUGCAGAAGAGGAGAGUGGAAUUCCAUGUGUAGCGGUGAAAUGCGUAGAUGUAUGGAGGAACACCAGUGGCGAAGGCGGCUCUCUGGUCUGUAACUGACGCUGAGGCUCGAAAGCGUGGGGAGCAAACAGG
rnacentral:rRNA from 1 species